rnacentral:lncRNA from 1 species
AGUGACUAGCUGGACUGGCCCUUCUCACAGCCCUGAUUGCCGGAGGACCUGGCAACUAUGGUGGCUUGAAUACAACUAUGGUGGGCUCAUGUGUUUGAAUACUUGGUUCUCAGUUGAUGGCUGUUAGGGAAGGUUACAGAUCCUUUAGGGGGUUGACUGCACGGGCCCUGUAUUGGAGUUAUGUGAUGUAGUCUGUGGGAAGAUGGAUGCAUUCUGGGAUGGAUGAUAUUGACUGUCAACCUGACAGGCUGUAAACCACCUGGGAGAUAACCCUCUAGGCUUGCCCCUGGGGGGUGACCUAGACCAGGUUAACUGAGGUAGGAAACCCCACCUUACUUCUGGGCAGCACCAUCCCACAGACUAGGGUCGUGGAUUGAAUACAAGGUGGGCACCAGCAUUGGUUUCAACCUUCAUGGCUGCGGUUGCAACAUGAUCAGCCCCUCACAUUCCUGCUGCCACGUCUUCCUGUCAGGAUGGACUAUACCCGAAAACUGCCUUUCUUAAGUGAAACCUACACAGCCCUCCCUGCCCAAUCACCCUCAGCACCAAGGAGUGGCGGUUUUGAAGACCUGCAUCUUCUCAAGCAGCUCAAACACACUCGGAUUUCCUGAACUCCCAGCAUGCCAUGGUCCCCUCUGCAUCCAGCACCGUGUCCAUUCACCACAGACUGAGACUUCUUUGAUAUUUUUAGUGUAAAUCAUGAGAUGUUUAACUUAAAUAUAUGUUCUUUCAAAGGAAAGCAUGUAUCACCAUGGCAAAUGGAAAAGCAGUACAAUGGGCUACAAAUAUAAGGUGACUAUAAAAAUAAACACAGCCAAAU